UGUUAGAUUUAUCAAUGGCCGCGGUACUUUGACCGUGCUAAGGUAGCGCAAUCAAUUGGCUUUUAAUUGAAGCCAUGUAUGAAUGGAAUCACGGGGUUUAGCUGUCUCUUAGUUAAUUUAUCGAAAUUACUAUCUAGGUGAAAAAGCCUAGAACAAGAAAAAAGACGAGAAGACCCUUAGAGUUUUACUUAAAUUAAAAACCUUUUUUAAACAGUUUAGUUGGGGCAACAUAGGAACAUAUUAAUUAACCUC
rnacentral:rRNA from 1 species